AAAGUUUUAAGUUAAAUUAAACUAAUAGCCUUCAAAGCUAAAAAUAAAUUCUAAUUAUUUAAACUUUA
rnacentral:tRNA from 1 species